rnacentral:rRNA from 1 species
UACGAAGGGGGCUAGCGUUGCUCGGAAUCACUGGGCGUAAAGCGCACGUAGGCGGAUUGUUAAGUCAGGGGUGAAAUCCUGGAGCUCAACUCCAGAACUGCCUUUGAUACUGGCGAUCUCGAGUCCGGGAGAGGUGAGUGGAACUGCGAGUGUAGAGGUGAAAUUCGUAGAUAUUCGCAAGAACACCAGUGGCGAAGGCGGCUCACUGGCCCGGUACUGACGCUGACGGUGCGAAAAGCGUGGGGAGCAAACAGGGAUUAAGAUACCC